AACUAACGCUGGCGGCGUGCCUAACACAUGCAAGUCGUACGAGAAAGUCGGCUUCGGCCGAUGAGUACAGUGGCGCACGGGUGAGUAGCGCGUGGGUAAUCUGCCCCCCGGUCAGGAAUAACCCGCCGAAAAGGCGGGCUAAUACCCGAUAACACUGACGCUCCGCGGAGCGUCUUUCAAAGAAGGCCUCUGUUUACAAGCUUUCGCCGGAGGAUGAGCCCGCGUACCAUUAGCUAGUUGGCAGGGUAAUGGCCUACCAAGGCUACGAUGGUUAGCUGGUCUGAGAGGAUGGCCAGCCACACUGGAACUGAGACACGGUCCAGACUCCUACGGGAGGCAGCAGUGAGGAAUCUUGCGCAAUGGGGGAAACCCUGACGCAGCAACGCCGCGUGAGUGAGGAAGGCCUUCGGGUCGUAAAGCUCUGUCAGAUGGGAAGAAAUGGAUGGGGGCUAAUAUCGCCCAUCCUUGACGGUACCAUCAGAGGAAGCACCGGCUAACUCCGUG
rnacentral:rRNA from 1 species